rnacentral:rRNA from 1 species
AACGAACGCUGGCGGCAUGCCUAACACAUGCAAGUCGAACGAGACCUUCGGGUCUAUUGGCGUACGGGUGCGUAACGCGGGGGAACCUGCCCUUAGGUUCGGAAUAACUCCCCGAAAGGGGUGCUAAUACCGGAUAAUGUCUUCGGACCAAAGAUUUAUCGCCUUUGGAUGGGCCCGCGUUGGAUUAGCUAGUUGGGAGGGUAAAAGCCUACCCAGGCGACGAUCCAUAGCUGGUCUGAGAGGAUGAUCAGCCACACUGGGACUGAGACACGGCCCAGACUCCUACGGGAGGCAGCAGUGGGGAAUAUUGGACAAUGGGCGAAAGCCUGAUCCAGCAAUGCCGCGUGAGUGAUGAAGGCCUUAGGGUUGUAAAGCUCUUUUACCCGGGAUGAUAAUGACAGUACCGGGAGAAUAAGCUCCGGCUAACUCCGUG